GCUGUCGUCAGCUCGUGUUGUGAAAUGUUGGGUUAAGUCCCGCAACGAGCGCAACCCUUAUCCUUUGUUGCCAGCGGUCCGGCCGGGAACUCAAAGGAGACUGCCAGUGAUAAACUGGAGGAAGGUGGGGAUGACGUCAAGUCAUCAUGGCCCUUACGACCAGGGCUACACACGUGCUACAAUGGCGCAUACAAAGAGAAGCGACCUCGCGAGAGCAAGCGGACCUCAUAAAGUGCGUCGUAGUCCGGAUUGGAGUCUGCAACUCGACUCCAUGAAGUCGGAAUCGCUAGUAAUCGUGGAUCAGAAUGCCACGGUGAAUACGUUCCCGGGCCUUGUACACACCGCCCGUCACACCAUGGGAGUGGGUUGCAAAAGAAGUAGGUAGCUUAACCUUCGGGAGGGCGCUUACCACUUUGUGAUUCAUGACUGGGGUGAAGUCGUAACAAGGUAACCGUAGGGGAACCUGC
rnacentral:rRNA from 9 species